rnacentral:rRNA from 1 species
CCUACGGGAGGCAGCAGUAGGGAAUUUUCGUCAAUGGCCGCAAGCCUGAACGAGCGAUGCCGCGUGAGUGAAGAAGGCCUUCGGGUCGUAAAGCUCUGUUGCGGGGGAAAAAAGGCAGCAUCAGGAAAUGGGUGCUGACUGAUGGUGCCCCGCCAGAAAGUCACGGCUAACUACGUGCCAGCAGCCGCGGUAAUACGUAGGUGGCGAGCGUUAUCCGGAAGGAUUGGGCGUAAAGGGUGCGCAGGCGGUCCUGCAAGUCUGGAGUGAAACGCAUGAGCUCAACUCAUGCAUGGCUUUGGAAACUGGAGGACUGGAGAGCAGGAGAGGGCGGUGGAACUCCAUGUGUAGCGGUAAAAUGCGUAGAUAUAUGGAAGAACACCAGUGGCGAAGGCGGCCGCCUGGCCUGUUGCUGACGCUGAGGCACGAAAGCGUGGGGAGCAAAUAGGAUUAGAUACCCCAGUAGUC